rnacentral:rRNA from 1 species
AAUAUUGCGCAAUGGAGGGAACUCUGACGCAGCGACGCCGCGUGAGCGAUGAAGGUUUUCGGAUCGUAAAGCUCUGUCCUUGGGGAAGAAGGCGGCCAUUUAUGGUCACUUGACGGUACCCAAGGCGGAAGCCCCGGCUAACUACGCGCCAGCAGCCGCGGUAAUACGUAGGUGGCAAGCGUUGUCCGGAAUUAUUGGGCGUAAAGCGCCCGCAGGCGGUUUUUUAAGUCUGAUGUGAAAUCUUGCGGCUCAACCGCAAGCGGUCAUUGGAAACUGGAGAACUUGAGGACAGAAGAGGAGAGUGAAAUUCCACGUGUAGCGGUGAAAUGCGUAGAGAUGUGGAGGAACACCAGUGGCGAAGGCGACUCUCUGGUCUGUAACUGACGCUGAGGCGCGAAAGCGUGGGUAGCGAACA